rnacentral:rRNA from 1 species
AUGCAAGUCGUACGGGCCUUACUUGAGAGUAAUCGAUGGUAAGGUUAGUGGCGAACGGGUGAGUAAUGCAUGGGUAACGUACCCCGGACACAGGGAAAGCGGCGGGCUUCGGCCCUUUAGCGAAAGUGCCGGUAAUACCUGAUGACAUCCAGAGGUUUCAUGGCCUUUGGACCAAAUGGUGGGGAUCCUUCGGGACCUGCCGGUCUGGGAGCGGCCCAUGUCCUAUCAGCUUGUUGGUGGGGUAACGGCCUACCAAGGCGAUGACGGGUAGCGGGCGUGAGAGCGCGGCCCGCCACAUCGGGACUGAGACACAGCCCGGACACCUACGGGUCUGCAGCAACGAAAAUUCCGCAAUGGGCGAAAGCCUGACGGAGCGACGCCGCGUGGAGGAUGAAGUCCCUCGGGAUGUAAACUUCAAUAGUUUGUCCGGAAGCAAUCAGAGUUAAUAGCUCUGUGCGUUGACCAACAUAUGAAAGGGGUGGCUAACUCCGUGCCAGCAGCCGCGGUAAUACGGAGACCCCUAGCGUUGUUCGGAUUUACUGGGCUUAAAGCGGGUGUAGGCGGAACGGUAAGUACCUUGUGAAAGCCCCGGGCUCAACCCGGGAAUUGCUGGGUAUACUAUCGUUCUUGAGGCAGGUAGGGGUCACUGGAACCUUAGGUGGAGCGGUGAAAUGCGUAGAUAUCUAAGGGGACGCCUGUGGCGAAAGCGGGUGACUGGGCCUGUACUGACGCUGAGACCCGAAAGCGUAGGGAGCGAACGGGAUUAGAUACCCCGGUAGUCUACGCCGUAAACGAUGCGCACUAGGUUCGAGGGUUCUGACACCGUCGUGCCGUAACAAAAGCGAGAAGUGCGCCGCCUGGGGAGUACGGCCGCAAGGCUAAAACUCAAAGGAAUUGACGGGGGCUCACACAAGCGGUGGAGCAUGUGGAUCAAUUCGACGCGAAGAACCCUACCUGGGUUUGACAUGUACGGAUGCCCUUGGUGAAAGCCGAGUAAGCUGCCUUCGGGUGAAACGUACACAGGUGCUGCAUGGCUGUCGUCAGCUCGUGCUGUGAAGUGUCGGGUUAAGUCCCUUAACGAGCGAAACCCUUGUCGCUAGUUGCCAGCGGGUAAAGCCGGGGACUCUAGCGAGACUGCCGGCGUUAAGCCGGAGGAAGGUGGGGACGACGUCAAGUCAUCAUGGCCUUUAUGCCCAGGGUUUCACACGUGCUACAAUGGGACGUACAGAGCGACGCGAGACCGUGAGGUGGAGCAAAUCGCAGAAAACGUUCCUCAGUUCGGAUUGGGGUCUGCAAUUCGACCCCAUGAAGUUGGAAUCGCUAGUAAUCGCGUAUCAGCAACGACGCGGUGAAUAUGUUCCUGAGCCUUGUACACACCGCCCGUCAAGUCAUGGAAGCUGGGAGUUCCCGAAGUCGCAGAAUAUCGUCUGUGCCGACGGAAAGCCUGGUGACUGGGACUAAG